UAACCUGCUAAAUAGUUAGGCCAACGUUUGUUGGUCGACAACUUCUUAGAGGGACUAUUGGCUAUUAGCCAAUGGAAGUUUGAGGCAAUAACAGGUCUGUGAUGCCCUUAGAUGUUCUGGGCCGCACGCGCGCUACACUGAUCAAGUCAGCGAGUUUACAACCUUGGCCGGAAGGUCUGGGUAAUCUUUUGAAACUUGAUCGUGCUGGGGAUAGUCCAUUGCAAUUAUUGGACUUCAACGAGGAAUUCCUAGUAAGCGUGAGUCAUCAGCUCACGUUGAUUACGUCCCUGCCCUUUGUACACACCGCCCGUCGCU
rnacentral:rRNA from 1 species